GUGAAGUGUGGCAAGUAUCCCGGACUCGGAUAUAUUAGAGGUUAGCCACCCUCCUCUUCAACACUGUCUCAUCCAGCAUCCCACCAUGAUCACUGUGUCUAAAGGAGUGAGGGCGGGUGUGUUGUGUGUGGUGAUGGUGACCAUUGCUGCGGCCUUCCACCCACCUGCUGUACCCCCACACAGUCUUCACCACGAGGACGGAAUUGGAGACUUCCCAUGCCCAGAGGACACUGAAAUCGAACCCUGCACCUGCACCUUUGACGGCGUCACUUUCGACCUUACCUGUAAAAAUCUGGAGAGUGAAGACGUUCUGAAACACGUAUUCACAGCUCACUUUCCCUUUACGCUAUUUACUUCCUUUACCCUCAUAGACUCCAACAUAACAACGCUCGCCCCUGAUAUGUUCAGCCCUAUAAUUUUUCAGUCGGUGAGGUUUGAGAGAAAUGGCCUGAAGGGAGAGCAAGUCCUCGAAGCGCUGAGCAGCUCACAAACUGCCCUGGAAAAUUUUACCCUGAUAGAGGAGGUGGACAGUGAAGAAGAAAACUCGCCGUGGCCUCUAGACGGCAUUGAUAAAUUCACAAAGUUGCAGAAAUUAGAGGUUAUUGGCCCAUACUCCGCUGGCUCCCUGUCGUCCACCCUUACAUCAGUCACUCUUAAUAUAGAGGGAUUGACUACCCUGCCCUCUGAUGCCUUCACCGUUGCCACUAACCUCAUCACGAUCACACUACAAAACUCUUCACUGGAAAGUAUCGAAGCAAACACCUUCAAGUUACUUACACAUUUGGAGACAGUGGAUUUAUCAAAUUGCAAACUGCAAAAGCUGACAACAGACUCUCUUGCCUUCGACGCCAACCUGACACUGGUAGACUUGUCCAACAACAUCAUUGACACUGUCGAGUCUGGAGCCAUUAAAGGUAUUCAAGGAAAUACAAGUGUGAAGAUUGACAAUAACUUACUCGAGGAGUUACCUCAAGACCCUUUUUCCACGGUCAUUACUGAACUGACUGAUGAAGGACAUGUUGAUGUGAACAACAACCCUCUUUUGUGCGGCUGUGACCUAGCAUGGAUCGUUACUCUCACAGAUGAGCAACGGACACGUCUCGAGGGACUAAAUACGUCUUGUGAUAUCCCAGACGAUAUCGAAUUUCAGAAACUGUUGGACUUCCUCAAAUACCAGUGUGGCAUUACGGACCCUCCCCCACCCCCAUCCUUCUGGUCCAUGUUCUUUUAAUCCAAGUGACAUGCAAGCUCCCAGAGAAGACGUGUGGUGCCUGUGAGACAUGAUGUAGAAGACGUGUGGUGCCUGUGAGACAUGGUGUAGUAGACGUGUGGUGCCUGUGAGACAUGAUGUAGAAGACGUGUGGUGCCUGUGAGACAUGAUGUAGAAGACGUGUGGUGCCUGUGAGACAUGGUGUAGUAGACGUGUGGUGCCUGUGAGACAUGAUGUAGUAGACGUGUGGUGCCUGUAUACUUAUGUUUACUUCUACAUAAAUUCCCAAAGUCAAACUCUUAUGUAUUGAGCUAAAUAAAUGUAUUUACCUUGACUCUUGAUUGAAUUUAUGAAACACAAUACAUUAAUAAAAACCACAGCUAAACCAGGUA
rnacentral:misc_RNA from 1 species